rnacentral:tRNA from 1 species
CGGGGCGUCGUAUACUGGCAGUACGCAUGGUUUGGGACCAUGUAGACUGGGUUCGAUUCCCAGCGCCCCGACAA